AACAAGGAUUCCCCUAGUAACGGCGAGUGAAGCGGGAAGAGCUCAAAUUUGAAAUCUGGCAGUCUUCGAUUGUCCGAGUUGUAAUCUAUAGAGGCGUUUUCCGUGCCGGACCGUGUCCAAGUCUCCUGGAAAGGAGUAUCAAAGAGGGUGAUAAUCCCGUACUUAACACGACCACCGGUGCUCUGUGAUACGUCUUCUACGAGUCGAGUUGUUUGGGAAUGCAGCUCAAAAUGGGUGGUGAAUUCCAUCUAAAGCUAAAUAUUGGCGAGAGACCGAUAGCGAACAAGUACCGUGAGGGAAAGAUGAAAAGCACUUUGGAAAGAGAGUUAAACAGUACGUGAAAUUGUUGAAAGGGAAACGAUUGAAGUCAGUCGUGUUCUUUGGAUUCAGCCAGUUCUGCUGGUCUACUUCCUUGGAACGGGUCAACAUCAGUUUUGUCCGGUGGAUAAAGGUAGUAGGAAUGUGACUUCUCCGGAAGUGUUAUAGCCUAUUAUCACAUACACUGGGUGAGACUGAGGACUGCAGCUCGCCUUUAUGGCCGGCCUUCGGGCACGUUCGAGCUUAGGAUGUUGACAUAAUGGCUU
rnacentral:rRNA from 1 species